UUUGAGUUCCUGUCCUUACUUUCUUCAGUGGUGAAUUGUAGCAUGGGAGCAUAAACCAGGUAAACCCCUUCCUUCCCACCUGGCUUUGGUUGUGGUGUUUUAUCAUAGCGAUCGUGUCUAACUAUGACACUUGCAUCCGCCUGUGGCCUGUCCUGAUAAUAAAAUCCAGAACACCAAGUGAAACCUGAAGUUCAGUUAAACGACGAAUAAUUUUUAGUGUAAGCUUGUCGCGUGUAACACGGGAAACAUGCGAAACUAACCACACUUUACCUGGCAUCCAAAUGAAUUAGCAUCCUGUAUUUUUGACUUGCUAAUUCGGAUGAAGGUUGGCUUUAGGGAUGCUGUAGGGAACAGGAGGUAGGUUAAGCCAUUGCAGCUGCCACAAGAUAGGCUACCUUACCUCCUCCCAGCAUUCAGUGGUAGUGAGAAAUGGGGCUAAUACAGCAGCCCCAGUGGCCUCUCAUCACCUCAGAAGUGUUACUCUUUUCAUGAGUGCAUCUCAUUGUCAGGUUUUUAAGCAGAGCUUGCGGGUGGCUGGUCCUUCACUGUUCAGCAUGGAGGACCUGGCCCAGAACAGUUGUGUGGUAACCAUUUCUUAAACGAAUGGACAAGUUUUAAAGCGCACCACCCCAGAAGUGGCUGACGGUCCUUGGUGGCCGUAUUACGUCAGUGUUUGUCAGCUGCCAACACACACUCAAGACAAGUUAUAGAGAGAAGAGGUUUUCAGGCUCUAGGUCAGGAGGUUCCAUAUGAGGCAGGCAUUGAUUUUGGGCCUUUUCUAGGGGAGCCUGAAGGUGAUGGCAGGUAGUUGUGAGAAGCAACAACGUCCACCUCACGGCUAAGAUACAAAACAGAGGAAGAGGAGAGGGCUGGGGUCUUAAAUCCCCUUAAAGAACACACCCACUGUGACCUAAUAUGUCUCACUAAGAGUGACGUCAUAAAGCUUCCAUUGCUGGACGCCAAGCCUCCGGGGACUUUGGGUCAGACAUUUAUCCAAACCAUAUCAAUGUCUAUGGUCCGGUGUUGUCUAUUUCAGGUUGAGUCAGAUGUUGACAGAGUAUGAAGGCCCAUCAGGGCCAUAGAGCAGUAGAGUAGCCUUUGAGUCGGCCUCUUAGUGUGAUUCAGGUAUGGGGUAUAACCAGAACAUUUAGUCUGACUGCUGCACACGGCCUGUCUGAUAACCCCAUCCUGUCCAGCAUGGUGUCUGCACGCUGAACAUUCUUAGCAGAUGGUGGGCUCUAUGCUCAUUACUCUUAAUACGAUUUAUUACCACUGAAGGGACUCGAGGAUAAAAGGAAAACCUGCCAAUAGUGUCACUGGGGCAACAAGCCAGCAGAGCUAUUCUUGGAAAUGUGGAGCUUCGGGCAUGGGACCUUUGAGCAUGAAGCAGCAAAUGGCAAAUACAGUGCAGAUUCCCCUAGGCAGCGUGGUGCUUAGGCUCAUCCUUUACACACCAUGAUGAUGUAAUCCCACCAGCUCCGCUCGGACGCACUUCCUCCUGGAAGAACGUUUACCAGAGUCAGUCUAUGCUAAGUCUGUCACGAUCUAAUUCAGAUGAUGUUCUGCUGCGUGCGUAACUGGAACAUCCCAAGGGAAGGGUCUACGUGAUUUAAUUUUGUACUAUAGCAUCCAGCACACUUCCCGGUUUUAUGAUGUAUGUUUGUAUCAGAUAGAGUAGGCUGGGUUUUUGCCGCAGUACAAAGAUGUGCUUUCAGAUUUUGGCAGCUUAUUUUAACCAAGGGUUACUUUCUUGCCCAUGUCAUUUGUUCUCUGUUGGUCCUGAUGUUGUUUGUCCUCUGUUGGUCGGCAUAGGGAGGAGUUCACUGACUCCUCAUCUGAGACCUAGGGUGUAGGGCAAGUUUUGAACGGAAUGUUGAAAUCCUCUUGAUAGAGCCACAGUAUGGAGCCCCAGGCUGCCUCUCAAAGCUCCUCAGAACAAUUACUUCCACUUAUACCUCAUGACAAACCAAACCACGCAGUCAAGCUGACCUCCUGAGAAGAAGGGAAAUACCAUUCUCCCUCACGGAAGAAGAGAAAAGGUUUUUGAACAAGAAUACAAUCUUCUACAGUGCCCAGGUCAAGCAAAAUUCUAUGAAUUUUGUAUUUGUGAAUGCAAUGUUUGGUACCACUGCAGCAACAAUUAUAUGGAUUCAAAUGGAAUCCCAUUACAACUGCUCUUUGGAGACGCACCGCUCUCUGAAAAGGGAGUGAACCAAGCAAGCCUGAGCUAUUCUUAGUCUAGCCCUGGCUCUUAUACUCGGACUGUGUGGGACCAGAAAGACGAGCCCUUAGAGAAAGAGGAAACUACAUCCGAGAACAUGGGAUGGGCUUCUCAAAGCAAUCGAGGCCUAUUAAAACACCUUUUAAACCUAGACUUUAAACACAGGAAUUGUUGAGGGACACGUGGAGAAGAGCUGGGACCUACCCAAGCACACAUGUGUGUUUCUCAGGAAGAGUCACAAGUGGAACUGCAUAGGAUGCAUCCUUCUGAUGGCUUCUUUCGCUUGGCAACGUGUUCAGUUUCCCCUGUGUCUUCUCCUAGAUCGAACAUUCAUUUUGCUUGCUGAGUAACACCUGGGUGCAGGUACUGAAUUCCAGGUCAAGGGUUCUGCUGAAGUGGAAUUAAAAUAAAAUGUGGCUUACACAGUGUGCUGCAGGAGAUGGACUAAACACACCACGGUCCUCACAAGUGAAAGUUUAGUGAAUGACCUGCCACACGGUCUCUCAUGAAAUAUCUGGGUAGAGUUUUCUCUUAUAGGGUACCUUUUUUUUCCAUUUUGGGGAGUUUCCCCAUUGUCACAGAAAAUCCCAUUCGAGGGGUUUCGCUAAAUGUUGGACUCUAUUAGUGAAGAGAGAUCUUCCUGUUGAAACACAGGACUGGAUUUUUGAGUGGAGCAAGAGUGUCCCCUUCACAGAACAUGUUCACGAAUCAAAGCCCUGUAGGAGGAACUGGCAUUUCUUGCUAUCGCAUCGACUCCAGUGGCUGAGUCUUUGGCCUGAAAGGAUCCCUCCAUGCUAAAUGAAGAAGACCUGAUAGAGGAGAGCAAAGAAGAGAAGUGGGAAAUGGAGAGAAUUCAAAGAGCCAGUUCAGAGACUGCCGAGAGGAGAGAUCCAGCUGACUCUGGUUUUCUGUUGUUGAGAAAUAGUCACUGUCCCACAGAAGCUGCCACAGGUGUAACAAUGUGGAGAGAACUCUGUGUGUGUGUUAAUGUAUGUAUUUAUGUGCAUGGGUGUGAUGUGUGUUUGUGUUGUGUGUAUAUGUG
rnacentral:sRNA from 1 species